rnacentral:rRNA from 1 species
UGAGGGAAUAUUGGGUCAAUGGACGGAAGUCUGAACCAGCCAAGUAGCGUGCAGGACGACGGCCCUAUGGGUUGUAAACUGCUUUUAUGUGGGAAUAAAGUGAGGGACGUGUCCCUUUUUGUAGGUACCACAUGAAUAAGGACCGGCUAAUUCCGUGCCAGCAGCCGCGGUAAUACGGAAGGUCCGGGCGUUAUCCGGAUUUAUUGGGUUUAAAGGGAGCGUAGGCCGUCUUUUAAGCGUGUUGUGAAAUGUAGACGCUCAACGUCUGCACUGCAGCGCGAACUGGUUUCCUUGAGUACGCAUAAAGUGGGCGGAAUUCGUGGUGUAGCGGUGAAAUGCUUAGAUAUGACGAAGAACUCCGAUUGCGAAGGCAGCCUGCUGUAGCGUAACUGACGCUGAAGCUCGAAAGCGUGGGUAUCGAACAGGAUUAGAUACCCUGGUAGU